GACCGCCGAUGCUUCAUCGGCCAAGGCCAUACGGACAGCCGGGUCGAAUGCCGA
rnacentral:sRNA from 1 species